rnacentral:rRNA from 1 species
GACGAACGCUGGCGGCGUGCUUAACACAUGCAAGUCGAACGGAAAGGCCCUGCUUUUGUGGGGUGCUCGAGUGGCGAACGGGUGAGUAACACGUGAGUAACCUGCCCUUGACUUUGGGAUAACUUCAGGAAACUGGGGCUAAUACCGGAUAGGAGCUCCUGCUGCAUGGUGGGGGUUGGAAAGUUUCGGCGGUUGGGGAUGGACUCGCGGCUUAUCAGCUUGUUGGUGGGGUAGUGGCUUACCAAGGCUUUGACGGGUAGCCGGCCGGAGAGGGGGGCCGGCCACAUUGGGACGACGCUUCCGCCAGGCCUCCGACGGGAGGCAUGAGCGAGGGGUGGUGCACAGUGGGCGCGACGCUGAUUCGGCGACGCCGCCUGCGGGAUGACGGCCUUCGGUUUGUAGCGCGCAUUCGCCUGGGUCGGAACGUGGGUGACGGUAGUGGGUGAAGAAGCACCGGCUAACUACGUG